rnacentral:rRNA from 1 species
GGCAGUAAUUACUUCUGAGGUGGCGAGCGGCGGACGGGUGAGUAAUGCCUAGGGAUCUGCCCAGUCGAGGGGGAUAACAGUUGGAAACGACUGCUAAUACCGCAUACGCCCUACGGGGGAAAGAGGGGGACCUUCGGGCCUCUCGCGAUUGGAUGAACCUAGGUGGGAUUAGCUAGUUGGUGAGGUAAUGGCUCACCAAGGCGACGAUCCCUAGCUGUUCUGAGAGGAUGAUCAGCCACACUGGGACUGAGACACGGCCCAGACUCCUACGGGAGGCAGCAGUGGGGAAUAUUGCACAAUGGGGGAAACCCUGAUGCAGCCAUGCCGCGUGUGUGAAGAAGGCCUUCGGGUUGUAAAGCACUUUCAGUAGGGAGGAAAGGGUGAGUCUUAAUACGGCUCAUCUGUGACGUUACCUACAGAAGAAGGACCGGCUAACUCCGUGCCAGCAGCCGGCGGUAAUGA